rnacentral:rRNA from 1 species
GAUCAUGGCUCAGGAUGAACGCUAGCGGCAGGCUUAACACAUGCAAGUCGAGGGGUAUAGUUCUUCGGAACUAGAGACCGGCGCACGGGUGCGUAACGCGUAUGCAAUCUACCUUUUGCAGAGGGAUAGCCCAGAGAAAUUUGGAUUAAUACCUCAUAGUAUGUGAGAAUGGCAUCAUUUUCACAUUAAAGUCACAACGGCAAAAGAUGAGCAUGCGUCCCAUUAGCUUGUUGGUAAGGUAACGGCUUACCAAGGCAACGAUGGGUAGGGGUCCUGAGAGGGAGAUCCCCCACACUGGUACUGAGACACGGACCAGACUCCUACGGGAGGCAGCAGUGAGGAAUAUUGGACAAUGGGCGCAAGCCUGAUCCAGCCAUGCCGCGUGCAGGAUGACGGUCCUAUGGAUUGUAAACUGCUUUUGUACAGGAAGAAACACUGGUUCGUGAACCAGCUUGACGGUACUGUAAGAAUAAGGAUCGGCUAACUCCGUG